rnacentral:ncRNA from 2 species
GAAUGUUGCUAGGGGAGCCUUUUGGCUGAGAGGAGAAUUCCGACCCUUAGAACCUGAUCUGGAUAAUACCAGCGUAGGGAAGCAGCGGAAAUCUUUU